GGGGGGGGUGGCUUAACACAUGCAGUCGAACGGUGAAGCCAAGCUUGCUUGGUGGAUCAGUGGCGAACGGGUGAGUAACACGUGAGCAACCUGCCCUGAACUCUGGGAUAAGCGCUGGAAACGGCGUCUAAUACUGGAUAUGAGCUGCGGAGGCAUCUUCGUGGUUGGAAAGAUUUUUCGGUUUGGGAUGGGCUCGCGGCCUAUCAGCUUGUUGGUGAGGUAAUGGCUCACCAAGGCGUCGACGGGUAGCCGGCCUGAGAGGGUGACCGGCCACACUGGGACUGAGACACGGCCCAGACUCCUACGGGAGGCAGCAGUGGGGAAUAUUGCACAAUGGGCGGAAGCCUGAUGCAGCAACGCCGCGUGAGGGAUGACGGCCUUCGGGUUGUAAACCUCUUUUAGCAGGGAAGAAGCGAAAGUGACGGUACCUGCAGAAAAAGCGCCGGCUAACUACGUGCCAGCAGCCGCGGUAAUACGUAGGGCGCAAGCGUUAUCCGGAAUUAUUGGGCGUAAAGAGCUCGUAGGCGGUUUGUCGCGUCUGCUGUGAAAACCCGAGGCUCAACCUCGGGCCUGCAGUGGGUACGGGCAGACUAGAGUGCGGUAGGGGAGAUUGGAAUUCCUGGUGUAGCGGUGGAAUGCGCAGAUAUCAGGAGGAACACCGAUGGCGAAGGCAGAUCUCUGGGCCGUAACUGACGCUGAGGAGCGAAAGGGUGGGGAGCAAACAGGCUUAGAUACCCUGGUAGUCCACCCCGUAAACGUUGGGAACUAGUUGUGGGGUCCAUUCCACGGAUUCCGUGACGCAGCUAACGCAUUAAGUUCCCCGCCUGGGGAGUACGGCCGCAAGGCUAAAACUCAAAGGAAUUGACGGGGACCCGCACAAGCGGCGGAGCAUGCGGAUUAAUUCGAUGCAACGCGAAGAACCUUACCAAGGCUUGACAUACACGAGAACGCUGCAGAAAUGUAGAACUCUUUGGACACUCGUGAACAGGUGGUGCAUGGUUGUCGUCAGCUCGUGUCGUGAGAUGUUGGGUUAAGUCCCGCAACGAGCGCAACCCUCGUUCUAUGUUGCCAGCACGUAAUGGUGGGAACUCAUGGGAUACUGCCGGGGUCAACUCGGAGGAAGGUGGGGAUGACGUCAAAUCAUCAUGCCCCUUAUGUCUUGGGCUUCACGCAUGCUACAAUGGCCGGUACAAAGGGCUGCAAUACCGCGAGGUGGAGCGAAUCCCAAAAAGCCGGUCCCAGUUCGGAUUGAGGUCUGCAACUCGACCUCAUGAAGUCGGAGUCGCUAGUAAUCGCAGAUCAGCAACGCUGCGGUGAAUACGUUCCCGGGUCUUGUACACACCGCCCGUCAAGUCAUGAAAGUCGGUAACACCUGAAGCCGGUGGCCCAACCCUUGUGGAGGGAGCCGUCGAAGGGGGAUCCCC
rnacentral:rRNA from 1 species